rnacentral:rRNA from 1 species
UACGUAGGGGGCUAGCGUUGUCCGGAAUGAUUGGGCGUAAAGCGUCCGCAGGUGGCUGUGUAAGUCUGCUGUCAAAGAGCAAAGCUCAACUUUGUAAAGGCAGUGGAAACUACACGGCUAGAGUGCGUUCGGGGCAGAGGGAAUUCCUGGUGUAGCGGUGAAAUGCGUAGAGAUCAGGAAGAAUACCGGUGGCGAAGGCGCUCUGCUAGGCCGCAACUGACACUGAGGGACGAAAGCUAGGGGAGCGAAUGGG